UACGAAGGGGGCUAGCGUUGCUCGGAAUUACUGGGCGUAAAGCGCACGUAGGCGGCUUCUUAAGUCGGUGGUGAAAUCCUGGAGCUCAACUCCAGAACUGCCUUCGAUACUGGGAAGCUCGAGUCCGGGAGAGGUGAGUGGAACUGCGAGUGUAGAGGUGAAAUUCGUAGAUAUUCGCAAGAACACCAGUGGCGAAGGCGGCUCACUGGCCCGUAACUGACGCUGAGGCACGAAAGCGUGGGGAGCAAACAGG
rnacentral:rRNA from 1 species